rnacentral:rRNA from 1 species
AGUGAACGCUGGCGGUAGGCCUAACACAUGCAAGUCGAACGGCAGCACAGUAAGAGCUUGCUCUUACGGGUGGCGAGUGGCGGACGGGUGAGGAAUACAUCGGAAUCUACUUUUUCGUGGGGGAUAACGUAGGGAAACUUACGCUAAUACCGCAUACGACCUACGGGUGAAAGCAGGGGAUCUUCGGACCUUGCGCGAUUGAAUGAGCCGAUGUCGGAUUAGCUAGUUGGCGGGGUAAAGGCCCACCAAGGCGACGAUCCGUAGCUGGUCUGAGAGGAUGAUCGGCCACACUGGAACUGAGACACGGUCAAGACUCCUACGGGAGGCAGCAGUGGGGAAUAUUGGACAAUGGGCGAAAGCCUGAUCCAGCCAUACCGCGUGGGUGAAGAAGGCCUUCGGGUUGUAAUGCCCUUUUGUUGGGAAAGAAAAGCAGCAGGUUAAUACCCCGCUGUUCUGACGGUACCCAAAAAAUAAGCACCGGCUAACUUCGUG